GUGCUUGCUUUGGCAGCACAUACACUAAAAUUGGAACGAUACAGAGAUUAGCAUGGCCCCUGUGCAAGGAUGACAUGCAAAUUCAUGAAGCAUUCCAUAUUUUU
rnacentral:snRNA from 1 species